UACGUAGGGGGCAAGCGUUGUCCGGAAUCAUUGGGCGUAAAGCGCGUGUAGGCGGUUCGGUAAGUCGGCUGUGAAAGUCCAGGGCUCAACCCUGGGUCGGCCGUGCGGACUGGCGUGCUCGAGCACUGUAGGGGCGGGUGGAAUUCCGGGUGUAGCGGUGGAAUGCGUAGAGAUCGGAAGAACACCGGUGGCGAAGGCGGCCCGCUGGGCAGGAAGGCUCGCAAGAGCCGGCUGACGCUGAGGCGCGACAGCGUGGGGAGCAAACAGG
rnacentral:rRNA from 1 species